UAAAUGCUAAAUUGUUCCAACUAAAAUUGGAACAGUACAGAGAGAUUAGCAUGUCCCCUGUGGAAGGAUGACACACAAAUUCAUGAAGCAUUCCAUAUUUUU